GCCCGCCUAGCUCAAUCGGAUAGAGCGUCAGACUCUUAAGCGGGCAUCUGAAGGCUGCGAGUUCGACCCUCGCGGUGGGCU
rnacentral:tRNA from 1 species